ensembl:ncRNA C41G11.13 ncRNA
UUAGGACCCGUCUUUUUUGGGACCUUUCCAGGAAAAGGUCAAAAUCUCAAGGGUAGGUAAUAUCCUUGCCCGACAUCUCACGCGUUCCGCGCCCUGGUUUGUUUACUUCUAGCAUAGUGGGGCGCGGAACCCGUGUGCUGUGAGCAUGAGCGUGAGCUUUGAUAUUGGUUGGGUCAACAUUUUUAUUUUACCUCAAAAAAGUACUCAAAAAUCUCUAACUUUU